UACGUAGGGGGCAAGCGUUGUCCGGAUUUAUUGGGCGUAAAGAGCUCGUAGGUGGUUCGGUAAGUCGGAUGUGAAAUCUCCAGGCUCAACCUGGAGGGGUCAUUCGAUACUGCCGUGACUAGAGUUCGGUAGGGGAGUGUGGAAUUCCAGGUGUAGCGGUGAAAUGCGUAGAUAUCUGGAGGAACACCGGUGGCGAAGGCGGCAUCCUGGACCGGUAUUGACGCUGAGGCGCGAAAGCUAGGGGAGCAAACGGG
rnacentral:rRNA from 1 species